GAUCAAGCUAUGAAGAGCACAGGGUGAAUGCCUUGGCAUCAAGAACCGAAGAAGGACGUGUCAAGCUGCGAAAAGCUGCGGGGAGUUGCAAGCAAACAUUGAUCCGCAGAUAUCCGAAUGAGGGAACUCAGCAUCUGUAAUAGGAUGUUACCAUAUACUGAAUUCAUAGGUAUAUGGAGGGAACCCGGUGAACUGAAACAUCUAAGUAGCCGGAGGAAAGGAAAACAAAAGUGAUUCCCAAAGUAGCGGCGAGCGAAAUGGGAAGAGGCCAAACCGGAAGUCUUCGGACAUCCGGGGUUGCGGACCCAUAGAAUCGAUCUGACGAAUAUAGCUGAAUAGCAUUGGAAAGUGCAGCCAAAGAGGGUAAAAGCCCCGUAAGCGAAAUACGAGUCAGCGAGAUGGGCACCAGAGUACCACGGGACACGUGAAACCCCGUGGGAAGCCGGGAGGACCACCUUCCAAGCCUAAAUAUUCCUUGAUGACCGAUAGAGAAAUAGUACCGUGAGGGAAAGGUGAAAAGCACCCCGGGAGGGGAGUGAAAGAGAACCUGAAACCUUGUGCUUACAAGCAGUGGGAGCACUAUUGGAAAGUGUGACCACGUACUUUUUGUAGAACGGGCCAGCGAGUUACGGUAUGCAGCAAGGUUAAGUGACUGGAGUCACGGAGCCGAAGGGAGACCGAGUCUUAAUAGGGCGAAUAAGUUGCAUGCUGUAGACCCGAAACCGGGCGACCUACCCAUGAGCAGGUUGAAGCGGUGGUAAAACACCGUGGAGGACCGAACCACACGUAUGUUGAAAAAUGCGGGGAUGACUUGUGGGUAGCGGAGAAAUUCCAAUCGAGCUCGGAGAUAGCUGGUUCUCCUCGAAAUAGCUUUAGGGCUAGCCUCGAGUGAAGAUAUAUGGGGGUAGAGCACUGAAUGGACUAGGGGGCUUCACGGCUUACCGAAUCUUAUCAAACUCCGAAUACCAUAUAUUACCUACUCGGGAGUCAGACAGUGUGAGAUAAGUUUCAUUGUCAAAAGGGAAAGAGCCCAGAUCAUCAACUAAGGUCCCAAAGUGUAAGUUAAGUGGAAAAGGAUGUGGAAUUGCAGAGACAACUAGGAUGUUGGCUCAGAAGCAGCCACUCAUUUAAAGAGUGCGUAACAGCUCACUAGUCGAGUGAUUGUGCGCCGAAAAUGUCCGGGGCUAAAACUUACCACCGAAGUUAUGGGUGCAUCGUAAGAUGCGCGGUAGAGGAGCAUCGUAUUAGGAUUGAAGCCAUACCGGGAGGAGUGGUGGACUUAAUACGAGAGAGAAUGCUGGCAUAAGUAGCGAGAGUGAGGUGAGAAUCCUCACCGUCGAAAGCCUAAGGUUUCCUGGGGAAGGCUCGUCCGCCCAGGGUAAGUCGGGACCUAAGCCGAGGACAGUAUCGUCGUAGGCGAUGGACAACAGGUUGAUAUUCCUGUACUACCGACCAUUCGUUUGACUGACGCAGUGACACAGGAGGAUAGCAGGAGCGGGCUGAUGGUAGAGCCCGUCUAAGCACUGAGGGUGGAAAUUAGUGAAGUACGGUUUCCGCGAAGCCUGAGGUGUGAUGGGGACAGAAAAUAAGUAUGGAAGUCUGUGAAUCCACACUGGCAAGAAAAGCUGCUAAGGAGAAUGGUAGGUACCCGUACCGCAAACCGACACAGGUAGGCGAGGAGAGAAUCCUAAGACGAUCGGGAGAAGCAUUGUUAAGGAACUCGGCAAAAUGACUCCGUAACUUCGGGAUAAGGAGUGCCUAGUAAAAUAGGUCGCAGUGAAUAGGCCCAAGCGACUGUUUAGCAAAAACACAGGUCUGUGCGAAAUCGAGAGAUGAAGUAUACGGGCUGACGCCUGCCCAGUGCUGGAAGGUUAAGGGGAACUGUUAGCGUAAGGCGAAGCAGGGAACUUAAGCCCCAGUGAACGGCGGCCGUAACUAUAACGGUCCUAAGGUAGCGAAAUUCCUUGUCGGGUAAGUUCCGACCCGCACGAAUGGCGUAACGACUUGGGCACUGUCUCAACAAUGUACCCGGCGAAAUUGUAGUAUGAGUGAAGAUGCUCAUUACCCGCGAUAGGACGGAAAGACCCCGUAGAGCUUUACUGCAACUUGGCAUUGGAUUUUGGUAUUGGAUGUACAGGAUAGGUGGGAGACUGAGAAGCGUUGACGCCAGUUGACGCAGAGUCACUGUUGGGAUACCACCCUUCCAAUACUAGGGUUCUAACCCGAGGCCGUGAACCGGCUCGGGGACAGUACCAGGUGGGCAGUUUGACUGGGGCGGUCGCCUCCGAAAGAGUAACGGAGGCGCCCAAAGGUUUCCUCAGAAUGGUCGGAAAUCAUUCAUUAGAGUGCAAAUGCAUAAGGGAGCUUGACUGCGAGAGGGACACCUCGAGCAGGGACGAAAGUCGGGAUUAGUGAUCCGGCGGUAUGAGAGUGGAAUUGCCGUCGCUCAACGGAUAAAAGCUACCUCGGGGAUAACAGGCUUAUCUCCCCCAAGAGUCCACAUCGACGGGGAGGUUUGGCACCUCGAUGUCGGCUCGUCGCAUCCUGGGGCUGAAGCAGGUCCCAAGGGUUUGGCUGUUCGCCAAUUAAAGCGGCACGCGAGCUGGGUUCAGAACGUCGUGAGACAGUUCGGUCCCUAUCCAUCGUGGGCGCAGGAAGUUUGAGUGGAGCUGUCCUUAGUACGAGAGGACCGGGAUGGACGUACCAAUGGUGUACCAGUUGUCGUGCCAACGGCAUGGCUGGGUAGCUACGUACGGACGGGAUAAACGCUGAAGGCAUCUAAGCGUGAAGCCCCCCACAAGAUAAGACUUCCCAUCCUUUAUGGAGUAAGACCCCUUGAAGACUACAAGGUUGAUAGGCUGGAGGUGUAAGUGCAGCAAUGUAUUUAGCUGACCAGUACUAAUAGGUCGAGGGCUUGAUCAAC
rnacentral:rRNA from 1 species